CUGCGGGAGGCGCGCCCCGGUCACCCGGCCGGCGACAGCCCCCUGCUGGGGCGCGCUGCGGAGGGGCUUCUCCGAAUGGUUUCCGAGGAGCCUGCACUCAGUUCCCCGGCCCCGAGAAGGAAAGAGUGACGUGCGUGCGGAACAGGCAGGCAGGCAGGCGCGGAUGCGGCUUAAAGGGAUCCGACCCUGCCCACGAACCCCGCCGCGAGGAGGCCCCGUUGACACGACUGGCCCCACCCCCACCCGCAGGCCUGGACGCUGGGCGCAGGCUCUCCAGCUGCCUUCCCUGCCUGCCGCGUGCGUGUGAGUGUGCGUGUGCGUGUGUGUGUGUGUGUGUGCGUGCUGGGGGCCCGUCAGGUCCGUUACCCCUACAGCAGGCACAGGAAAGCUGGCAUCGGGUGUCUGAAGGUAGGGGUUUCCCAUUCGAUGGACAAAGGUCACCCGGGACUGUUGGGAGGUAAUCACUGGAUGCGAUCCCCAAGCAUUACCUGUAAACGAAACCAAAUGGAACGUCUGCAACACAGAGAGGCAGAGGAAGUUUAGAGAUAGACCUGUGGGAGAGACCAGAGAGAGACGCAGCCACAAGCCAGUGAAUGCCAGUAGCCACCAGAAGCCAGAAGAGGAAAGAUUCUCUGCCAGAGCCUCCAGAGGGACAGCCAUCCUGUCUGCAUCUUGAUUUUGGACUUCUGGCCUCCAGAUAUGCUCCAUGCCCAGUGUAGAGCCCAACACAGGCC